AUUUCUCUGAGGUGUUUGCCAGCGGGCCAGUCCCCUGAGCCGAUAUUUAAUACCAACAGAAUGUAGUGCCUCCGUAACUGGUGCGCAUGCUCGGUCCGCCGAGAAGCCUUAAGGUUGCGACGCUGCGUUCACCUUGAACCAUGGGUUCAAGGGUUACAGCCUGCGGCGGCAUCUCGGAGAUCCC
rfam:Yersinia mollaretii ATCC 43969 contig01160, whole genome shotgun sequence.